ACAGCUGAUUGGUGUGCCACUGAUUUAGGAGAGAAUUUAAAAGAGAGGAUAUAUAGAGUAAUUUAAUUUUGAUCUCUACGCAACGAUAAACCAUUGCGACUUUCUCAAUAAACUAACAAAAUGAAAAUUUCUACAAGAGAAUUCCUAUGCAAAUUUUGAUUCGAGAUAGAUUUCUGGUGGAAAAGUAAUUUAUAGGCAUAAAAAAAAAACACAUUAUAGUGAAACCAAUACAUUCU